CCCGAUAAGACGAGGAUAACUACUGGAAACGGUAGCUAAUACUGGAUAGUAUAUGAAGUCGCAUUGGCUUUAUAUUUAAAGGUGCUCUCAAGCAUCGACUUAUGGAUGGACCUGCGGCGCAUUAGCUAGUUGGUGACGGUAACGGCCCACCAAGGCGACGAUGCGUAGCCGGACUGAGAGGUUGAACGGCCACAUUGGGACUGAGACACGGCCCAGACUCCUACGGGAGGCAGCAGUAGGGAAUUUUCGGCAAUGGACGCAAGUCUGACCGAGCAACGCCGACGUGAGUGAUGAAGUUCUUCGGAACGUAAAAUUCUUUUAUUUGGAAAAACGUAUAGUGUAGGAAAUGACAUUAUAGUGAUGGUACCAAAUGAAUAAGCCCCGGCUAACUACGUGCCAGCCGCCGC
rnacentral:rRNA from 1 species